AUGGGAGGUGAUCUUGUCAAUCAGGCCUCACUAGCCAAUCAGGCCCUCCAGGUGGCCUGUCAGUCACAAGAGUACAGGGCUCUUCCUGCCGGUGGCAGUUUCAGGCUUGUCUCUGAAAAGGAGCUAGUUCCUUUUUGUGUGUGUGUGUGUGUUCUGUGGUGUGAGUACUGCUACAGGGAGCUGAGUGGAGAGCUUGGAAAUCCGGGAAACCACGACAUGAAUGCAGGGACAUAUGACAAUGUGCAUGUUGACUUCACUCAGGAAGAGUGGGCUUUGCUGGAUCCUUCCCAGAAGACUCUCCAUAAAGAUGUGAUAUUGGAGACUACAGGAUCCUUACUGCUAUAGAUUCCUGUGUGCUCAUGUUUCCUGUGUAAACCAAUCAGAAGGCACCUUGGCAAAGACAGAUCUUUACAGCAUACAAAAAGAUUAUUCCACAACAGUGGAUGCUAUUCCUGUUAUUUGGAAUGGGCUUCUGGUUAUUCAAUGGACUUCUCUGUGUUCAAGAUUCACCACGCACAGCUCUGCCCUCACCUGAAAGCCACUGUAGGUUCCUAAUUGUAUAGGAAAGUUUUGGACAAGAUUUAGAUGCUGUAUAAGGAAUACUAAACUAAUAAAAUUUUCUUCCUUCCUCCCUUUUUUGUUUGU
rnacentral:lncRNA from 1 species